rnacentral:rRNA from 1 species
GAUGAACGCUGGCGGCGUGCCUAAUACAUGCAAGUCGAGCGAACGGACGAGAAGCUUGCUUCUCUGAUGUUAGCGGCGGACGGGUGAGUAACACGUGGAUAACCUACCUAUAAGACUGGGAUAACUUCGGGAAACCGGAGCUAAUACCGGAUAAUAUUUUGAACCGCAUGGUUCAAAAGUGAAAGACGGUCUUGCUGUCACUUAUAGAUGGAUCCGCGCUGCAUUAGCUAGUUGGUAGGGUAACGGCUUACCAAGGCAACGAUGCGUAGCCGACCUGAGAGGGUGACCAGCCACAGUGGGACUGAGAUAGGGGCCAGACUGGUGGGGGAGGCAGCAGGGGGGAAUAAUGCACAAUGGUCGGAAGGCUGAUGCAGAACGGCCGCGUGCGGGGUGACGGCAUACGGGUUGUAAACGGCUUUCGCAUGUGACGAAGCGUGAGUGACGGUAAUGGGUAAAGAGGCACCGGCUAAGUACGUG